rnacentral:rRNA from 1 species
UACAGAGGUCCCAAGCGUUGUUCGGAUUCAUUGGGCGUAAAGGGUGCGUAGGCGGCGCGGUAAGUCGGGUGUGAAAGUCCAGGGCUCAACCCUGGGAUGCCGGUGGAUACUGUCGGGCUCGAGUCCGGAAGAGGAGUGUGGAAUUCCUGGUGUAGCGGUGAAAUGCGCAGAUAUCAGGAGGAACACCAAUGGCGAAGGCAGCACUCUGGGACGUGACUGACGCUGAGACGCGAAAGCGUGGGGAGCAAACAGG